rnacentral:rRNA from 2 species
GRUKGKGCAUUCGGGCAGAGAUGCCUUAGUGCCUUCGGGAACCGUGAGACAGGUGCUGCAUGGCUGUCGUCAGCUGAGUGKGAAAUGUUGGGUUAAGUCCCGCAACGAGCGCAACCCUUAUCCUUUGUUGCCAGCGGUCCGGCCGGGAACUCAAAGGAGACUGCCAGUGAUAAACUGGAGGAAGGUGGGGAUGACGUCAAGUCAUCAUGGCCCUUACGACCAGGGCUACACACGUGCUACAAUGGCGCAUACAAAGAGAAGCGACCUCGCGAGAGCAAGCGGACCUCAUAAAGUGCGUCGUAGUCCGGAUUGGAGUCUGCAACUCGACUCCAUGAAGUCGGAAUCGCUAGUAAUCGUGGAUCAGAAUGCCACGGUGAAUACGUUCCCGGGUCUUGUACACACCGA